GAAAUGGGCAGCUUGGUGACACUCAGCCCAGGUGGUCUUCUGCCUGUGGCGGGAAGCUGGCAAGCGGAAGGAGCCAAUCGCCCGGUGCUGGGAUGCUGUGGAGCAAGGAGAAGGCAAGUACAAAGUUUACUUGCUGGUGGGGUCGCUACUAGAAGGCGACUGAUAUUCAGCUCUGAAGCUGGCUGAUGUCUGGCAAUGGACCUGGCGAGGCUGCAGCUGGUGGAUGGUUGUCGGAAGAGUUUGCAUUCAGGCCAUUGGAUGCCGCGAGGCUACGCUGGCUGAGAUGGAUGCAAACAGGUUUGGAAGCCUUGUUUGUGAACAGGCAGCCAAACAGAGGAGGAGUCUGGGGGGACGCUGUCAGAUGGGGGCCGUCCCACUCACCUGUUUGCCUUUGCCAUACAGGGAUGUCUGGAGCCGGUCAGGUUUUCCCCAAGUCCAGCCUUAAAAGUCAUGAAGAGAACCGCAGGACGUCCCUAUUUACAUUGGAGAAAUGAACGUGAAAUACUGGCAGUAAGCAAUGGACAAGGCCGUGGCCAUACGUGAGAGAAGGAGCUUUGAAGGGAGACUGCAGGCGGACAUCUGCUGCAUUGCAUGUGAUGGGGCAGUGGGGAGAGAGAAGAAAAUGAGGGAGGAAACAUUAGG